rnacentral:misc_RNA from 1 species
GGUCUAGGUGCUCUGCAUGUGAAAGCUGAUUCCAGACUCUUUAGUUGUGUUGGCUAUGGCUUUGCACAUGAAAGUCGAUUGGUCUAUUCUACAUGUGGCUCUUUCGACUAUGUUGUGUCUCUUUCAACUAUUUUGUGGCUAUUGCGAUAUGUUUAUAUUUUGUUAUCAAUUUAUGAUUUUUGUUGGUUAAUUAUUGUGAUUUUG